AUACGUAGGGGGCUAGCGUUAUCCGGAAUUACUGGGCGUAAAGGGUGCGUAGGUGGUUUCUUAAGUCAGAAGUGAAAGGCUACGGCUCGACCGUAGUAAGCUUUUGAAACUAAGAGACUUGAGUGCAGGAGAGGAGAGUAGAAUUCCUAGUGUAGCGGUGAAAUGCGUAGAUAUUAGGAGGAAUACCAGUUGCGAAGGCGGCUCUCUGGACUGUAACUGACACUGAGGCACGAAAGCGUGGGGAGCAAACAGGAUUAGAUACCCUGGUAGUCCACGCCGUAAACGAUGAGUACUAGCUGUCGGGGGUUACCCCCCUCGGUGGCGCAGCUAACGCAUUAAGUACUCCGCCUGGGAAGUACGCUCGCAAGAGUGAAACUUAAAGGAAUUGGCGGGG
rnacentral:rRNA from 1 species